rnacentral:misc_RNA from 1 species
AACUGAUACUACCUGCGGGAACCUGCGGAGGGAUCAUUACCGAGUUUACAACUCCCAAACCCCUGUGAACAUACCACUUGUUGCCUCGGCGGAUCAGCCCGCUCCCGGUAAAACGGGACGGCCCGCCAGAGGACCCCUAAACUCUGUUUCUAUAUGUAACUUCUGAGUAAAACCAUAAAUAAAUCAAAACUUUUAGCAAUGGAUCUCU